rnacentral:rRNA from 1 species
UACGUAGGGGGCGAGCGUUGUCCGGAAUUACUGGGCGUAAAGGGUGCGUAGGCGGUAAUUUAAGUCAGAUGUGAAAUCCCCGGGCUUAACUCGGGUGUUGCAUUUGAAACUGGGUUACUAGAGUGCAGGAGAGGGAAGCGGAAUUCCUAGUGUAGCGGUGAAAUGCGUAGAUAUUAGGAGGAACACCAGUGGCGAAGGCGGCUUUCUGGACUGUAACUGACGCUGAGGCACGAAAGCGUGGGGAGCAAACAGG